UACGAAGGGGGCUAGCGUUGCUCGGAAUCACUGGGCGUAAAGCGCACGUAGGCGGAUUGCUAAGUCAGGGGGUGAAAUCCUGGAGCUCAACUCCAGAACUGCCUUUGAUACUGGCAACCUUGAGUCCGGGAGAGGUGAGUGGAACUGCGAGUGUAGAGGUGAAAUUCGUAGAUAUUCGCAAGAACACCAGUGGCGAAGGCGGCUCACUGGCCCGGUACUGACGCUGAGGUGCGAAAGCGUGGGGAGCAAA
rnacentral:rRNA from 1 species